GGGUUUGAGGGCACGAAUUCAGUAAAGAGAAUGGCCCAUCCACAUCCUUACCUUCAAAUAGACGCAAUUGUUUUACUAUUUUACUUGAGUUCUGAGGCUGAAAUCAAAGCCUCAGUUCACAGGGCUGCUCUAUCUUGGAGCUGCCACUACACUGCCUUUAUUGGAGUCCUACACUUCCCCCUCUCCAUCUUUUCAGAAUCGAUGUAGAUGCAAAACCAAAUGCUCAACCAGCCCCAGACUCUAGCCCUUCCUUCUUGUCUGGCCUCCCAACAAGCUCGGACUAAGCAACACUGAAACAAUUUCUGGCAUCUUAGCUCAUAAUAGCUGAAUCAUCUGACCCUUCUGUAGAUUUCAUUGCUUCACAGGCAAAGCUGCUGCUACCUCCCCUUCCACUUCUCCCCAUUCUUGAAAUGUCUCUUGCUCCAUCAGAAGCACCACCGUUUCUCUGCAAGCUUUUUUGAUAGAGAAUUAAACUCUCUGCCAUGAGCUCAUGGAACCACUGGACCAAAGCUGACAACUGGAUGAUUCUACAGGUGCUUAGGAAUUCAGAGAAAAGUUUGAAUAUUACUCUCAAAUCACCGGGGAACUAUGGCAAAGUCCCAUCCAUCUCGAGAAGGCAUAAUGAAAGACAUAUUGCAGCCAAUCCCAGAGAAGCAUAUUUUGCCUUUACUUUCUGCCCCACUGCUACCCCAAACCAAUAGUAUGGCAUUUUAGUAAGAGGAAGA